GACGAACGCUGGCGGCGUGCCUAAUACAUGCAAGUAGAACGCUGAAGAGAGGAGCUUGCUCUUCUUGAUGAGUUGCGAACGGGUGAGUAACGCGUAGGUAACCUGCCUUGUAGCGGGGGAUAACUAUUGGAAACGAUAGCUAAUACCGCAUAACAAUGGAUGACACAUGUCAUUUAUUUGAAAGGGGCAAUUGCUCCACUACAAGAUGGACCUGCGUUGUAUUAGCUAGUAGGUGAGGUAAUGGCUCACCUAGGCGACGAUACAUAGCCGACCUGAGAGGGUGAUCGGCCACACUGGGACUGAGACACGGCCCAGACUCCUACGGGAGGCAGCAGUAGGGAAUCUUCGGCAAUGGGGGCAACCCUGACCGAGCAACGCCGCGUGAGUGAAGAAGGUUUUCGGAUCGUAAAGCUCUGUUGUAAGUCAAGAACGGGUGUGAGAGUGGAAAGUUCACACUGUGACGGUAGCUUACCAGAAAGGGACGGCUAACUACGUG
rnacentral:rRNA from 1 species